ACUUUUCUUACUGAAUAUGAAUUAAAUAGGAAGUCAAAGAGGUUCAUCAGAAUCCAUGAUGAUUAAAAGAUAGGGCAGUGGGAGUCAGGCAGAGGAGGAACAAGAAUGUCCAGAAACUGCAACAGAAAACUAAAGAAGGCAGCAAAUGGAAACUAUUCAUGAUAUAUUUUGUCUCUUUUUCAAAGAUCUAAAACAUUUUAGCUACAAAUUCAGAAGAAUGCAUUCUCAGUAGCCUAGUAAAUAAAUGUAGGUCAAAGAUAAACUUGGCAAAAAUGUUACUGAACUAUACUUUCACCCCAACGCUCCAAAGGCAUUUCUCACUAGUACCUUUAACUUGCUUUAACUUCAGAAGUCUACUCAUUCCUACAACUAUUCUACGCAUUUUGUGAGGUAGAUAGUAAGGUAUCCUGGGUCCCCUAGGGACAAAAGUGGGUGCUAUUGCCCCCAUCUUGUUCUGGCCCAACCCUGACUGAAUCAGCCAAUCAGAACUUGGCCCGCCAGCUGCAAAAAAGAAUGCAGAGGACUCUCUAGCCCACAGGCCAAGCCCUAUGGUUACCAUAAAGUCCGAAAAGUGACCUAGAACCCCUGUGCGUAGUUAAGGCUCAGGCCAUAUGACUCCCAACUGUCCAAUCAAAGUGGUGCUCUGGUGACCUCUGAACUAUGAGGGCGGUGCCUAACAGGCAUUAUAAAAUAAGACCCAGCCCACAGCCAAGCGCUCUCUCUCGGCCCUUCCUCUUGCUGGUUCUGAUGUGACACUGGAUCCGGUCAUCGUGUGUGGAAUCUUCUACAUCACAGUAUACAGUAAAUGUUGUUGAUAAUGCUACCAGUGAGAAAACGCAUGUACAAAAGAGUAUGCAAAUAUUAUCAGCUCCACAAAAUGUCACCACUCACUCAACAAAAACUAUCUAGUCAUGGAAAGAAAAUUAUUCUAGAAAAUUGACAUUUGAAGAACAUACAGCCAAAUAUGAUAUUUAAAAUUCAACCAACCACUGAGUACUUACCACAUGCCUAGUAUUCUUGCUUCAUAAGAGCCCCAGGUUUCCAGGUGAACCAAAAGAAAGGUAAAGAAAUCAACAAUUAUUCUGAGAGACAAAAAAUAAUUAAAAAUCAUCAAACAAGUAAAGAAAAUGGACUUUAAAUUGAUAGAGGUGAAACAAUAUAGGAAGAUAACUGAAAUUUGAGAUAGGUGAGGAGGCAGUAAAAGAACACCUGUGUGUUUCAAAUAAGUUCAUGUUUCCAGGCUCAAAUUAUAUCCCACAGCUGUCUGCAGGUAACCUAAGACCCAUUGCUGGUAAGUUCUGAGAAACUGUAAAAACUGAAAAAGAUGAUAGAUCAUCUUUUUAAAAAUGAUGUAAAGGUAGACACUGAAAACUGUAGAACAGAAAAGUAAAAUUUCAGAGUAUAUAAUGUAUUAAAGGGUUUGGUGGUCGCUAGGAACCAAAGCAACUAAAAUAAAACAAGUCAUGCAUACCAUACUUCUUUUUUAUUUGAUCUUAAGAGUUAAGAUGGAAUUUUUUAGCCAUAUUAUAAAUUAAUCUCAGCAAAGCAUUUAACCUAGUCUUUCAUGAUACCUUGUCUUUAAGAACCUAAAGUAAAAGCCUGAUAUAAUUAAGUGAAUUCAAAGUUAGUUGGAUAAUUAUAUGCAGACUUUUGUUCAUAUUUUUUCAUAAGUUACAACAGUGAAGACAUAUAAAUCAUUCUGGUCAAAUCAGUGGAUGAAACAAAAACUACAUAGCACAGAACAUAUGAUUGAAGACAGAGCCAAAACACAAAAUUAUUUUAACAGUUUAAACUCUGAGCUAAAACCUAAAAGAUAAAAUUUAAGAGAAACAUGUGAAAAGUUCUACAUUCAAGUUAAAAAAAUAAAACUGUACAGUGCAAAGUAGGAUAGAUUCUAGAUUAGCCAUGCAAAAUACAUCCAGAGGUUUUUGUGUCUGUCAAGAUCAAUGUGAGGGUUACCCUGCACCCUUGACACUUCCAUUUGAAAAUGCAAGCCCCACCUGCCUCUUUCCUUUCAUUCCCUGGAUGCUAUUCCCUUAGAAUUCACUAAUAAUGACCUCUCCAAAGAUAUCCUCAUCCUAAUCCCUGGAACCUAUGAAUAUGUUACGGAUGUGGAAAGAUGGAAUUAAGAUGACAGAUGGAAUUAAGUUUACUAAUUAGCUAACCUGAAAAUAGGGAGCUUAUCCUUGAUUGUCUCAUGGGAGCCAAUGUAAUCACAAAGGUCCUUAAAAGUAGAAGAGGGGGACAGAAGAGGAUGCCAGAGUGAUGUGAUGUGAAAAGAACCCAUCCCACCCUUGCUGGCUUUGAAGAUGGGAGGAAGUAAUGUGGGUGGCCUCUAGAAGUUGGAAAAAUGAAGGAAACAGACCCUGCCCUACAGCUUCCAGAAAGGAACAGAGCCCUGCCAACAGCCUGACUUUAUCCAAAAAAGACCAGUAUGUUGGACUUCUAACCUACAUAAUGGAACUGCUAUAAGCACUGAGUAUAUCACAGUGAAUAAUACAGUGAAAAUCCCUGCCCUUAUGGAAUUUGCAUACUAUUAAAUAAUUCAGAGACAUGCAGUAAGUAAGCAAGUAAGUAAAUAAAUGAAUGGGUAAAAUUUUAGUAUGUGAGAUGGUGGUAAGGGCUGUGGUAAAAAAGAAAUAAGGGAGGAGAGUAGAAGGUGAAAUUUUAAAUAGGGUAGUCAAAGAAAGCCUCACUGUGAAGCUGACAUUAGAAGAUACUUGAAAAAUGAGGG